UACGUAGGGGGCAAGCGUUGUCCGGAUUUAUUGGGCGUAAAGAGCGUGUAGGCGGCCAGGUAGGUCGGUUGUGAGAACUAGAGGCUCAACCUCUAGACGUCGACCGAAACCAUCUGGCUAGAGUCCGGAAGAGGAGAGUGGAAUUCCUGGUGUAGCGGUGAAAUGCGCAGAUAUCAGGAAGAACACCCGUGGCGAAGGCGGCUCUCUGGGACGGUACUGACGCUGAGACGCGAAAGCGUGGGGAGCGAACAGG
rnacentral:rRNA from 1 species